AUCGAACGCUGGCGGCAUGCUUUACACAUGCAAGUCGAACGGCAGCGCGGGCUUCGGCCUUGCCGCGAGUGGCGAACGGGGGAGUAAUGCAUCGGAACGUGCCCAUUAGUGGGGGAUAGCCCGGCGAAAGCCGGAUUAAUACCGCAUACGACCUGAGGGUGAAAGCGGGGGACCGAAAGGCCUCGCGCUUUUGGAGCGGCCGAUGUCGGAUUAGCUAGUUGGUGGGGCAAAGGCUUACCAAGGCGACGAUCCGUAGCUGGUCUGAGAGGACGACCAGCCACACUGGAACUGAGACACGGCCCAGACUCCUACGGGAGGCAGCAGUGGGGAAUUUUGGACAAUGGGGGCAACCCUGACCCAGCCAUGCCGCGUGCGGGAAGAAGGCCUUCGGGUUGUAAACCGCUUUUGUUCGGGAAGAAAUCCUCUGGAGUAAUACCCCGGGGGGAGGACGGUACCGGAAGAAUAAGCACCGGCUAACUACGU
rnacentral:rRNA from 1 species